UGCGUUUGUUUGUUUGUUUGUGUGUGUGCGUGCGCGCGCGCGCGCGUGGUUCGUUCGUUCUGUCUCCAGGCUAGUGGCUAAGUACUGAGGGCUUCAUCUAUCUAAAAGGAGUUAUUUCCAUCUGAAUUUGGCAGCACCGGGACACAGCAGCAGAGCGAGUCCACAUCCAGAAGACUGGAGCCGUGUUUCACUGACAGGCUGUCAGACUAACGCCCUGAUGAGCUCAGCUGGGACAAACUGGUCUGAUGUUUAGGAACACAGAACGUUCAGAUGUUGGCGUUUCACGUCACCUACUGAGGAAGGAGACCCACCAGUAAAGAGACGGUCUGGACCAGACCAAAAAUAUGGCGAUGACAUCAUGGAACUGGUCUUUGGAAAAGUUUUCCCUGAACCAACUCCGUUUCUAGAUGAGGUAGAGAAGAUCUGCAUCUCACCAACUCUCUGGUCUCAGUAUUCAGACAACGGAGGUCUCCCACUGUUGUCCAGGACCAGUUUGAAGCCCACAUACUGCCCCUCCCUCAUCAUCAGGAAACAUCAAUCCGUAUCCUGAGGACAACAGAAGACGGCAGGAGGACAGGAACUCUGAGACCUAGACACCACCAGCACCGAGACACAAAGCACCUGUGUGCACAAAGCCUGUUUAAUUACU